rnacentral:lncRNA from 1 species
UUUCUCAGAGUGGAUCCCAAGAGCUUUUCCUGGGAAGGAUUCUCCGAGUGGAUCCCAGGAACCUCUCCAGGGAUGGAUUUCUCUGAGUGGAUCCCAGGAACUUCUCCAAGGGUGGAUUUCUCUGAGUGGAUCCCAGGAACUUCUCCAGUGAAGGAUCGGUCUGGGUGGAUCCCAGGAACUUCUCCAGGGAUGGAUUUCUCUGAGUGGAUCCCAGGAACUUCUCCAGGGGUGGAUUUCUCUGAGUGGAUCCCAAGAGCUUCUCCAGUGAAGGAUUUCUCCCAGUGGAUCCCGAUAAUUUUUCCUGGGAUGGAUUUCUCCCGAGUGGAUCCCGGGGGCUGCUCCAGCAGGGGAUUGGUCUGGGUGGAUCCCGGGAACUCUUCGGGAAGG